UCCUAAUGCACAGUGGAGAGCUCCAGAGGAAAUGGCGUCCCUCUUGGAUGGGGAAAGAUCUGAACACCAUCUGACAAAUAAAAUUGAUAUUUACGCACUUGGAAAUAUUUUCUUUCGUAUGAU
rnacentral:sRNA from 1 species